rnacentral:misc_RNA from 1 species
CCUGAAAUGAGUUCCUCCCCCUUACUUCCACCAGUAAUUGCAACUUCAUUCAGUUUAUCUUCCGCAAAACAGUUUUCUUGUGGAAAUCCAGCCCUUUCUUCCACUAAGGUAGAAUGCUGAUUUUUUAGUUUGUCAUCAUAUGAAAUGCUUUGGCUACAGUCACUUUUGCCUGUAGUUGGGAGUUUUAGCUGCAAUUCAUCGCCCAAAGUCAUACGACCAGUAACCUCAUUAUUC